rnacentral:rRNA from 1 species
UCAGAACUUAAAGAGAAAUCUUGAGUUUAUGGACUUCAGGGGGAGUAUGGUCACAAGGCUGAAACUUAAAGGAAUUGACGGAAGGGCACACCAGGAGUGGAGCCUGCGGCUUAAUUUGACUCAACACGGGAAAACUUACCAAGACCGAACAGUAGAAGGAAUGACAGAUUAAGAGUUCUUUCAUGAUUUAUUGGGUAGUGGUGCAUGGCCGUUCUUAGUUGGUGGAGUGAUUUGUCAGGUUAAUUCCGGUAACGAACGAGACUGAAACCUAUUAAUUAGUUUUCUGCCUAUAAGACAGAAAUGUUCGCAAGAACAGGUGCGUAAGUACCACUUCUUAAAGGGACACAUUUCAAUU